UACAGAGGUCCCAAGCGUUGUUCGGAUUCAUUGGGCGUAAAGGGUGCGUAGGUGGUGCUGUAAGUCAGGUGUGAAAUCUCGGGGCUCAACCCCGAAACUGCACUUGAUACUGCAGUGCUGGAGGACUGGAGAGGAGAUCGGAAUUCAUGGUGUAGCAGUGAAAUGCGUAGAUAUCAUGAGGAAGACCGGUGGCGAAGGCGGAUCUCUGGACAGUUCCUGACACUGAGGCACGAAGGCUAGGGGAGCAAACAGG
rnacentral:rRNA from 1 species